AAACGAGCUUGGUACUGCAAUCUUUCAAAGGCCAAUUCCUUGAUUUUCAGGAGUCGACAAUUGGGGCAGCUUUCUUCACUCAGGUUUUGUCACUCAAUGAAGCCACCAUAAAGUUCGAUAUAUGGAACACGGCAGGCCAAGAGAGAUACCAUAGCUUGGCUCCUAUGUAGUAUCGCGGUGCAGCCGCGGCCGUCGUGGUCUACAAUGUCACUAGCUCGGUAACUUGCUUGAUUGAUACUCGACACAUUCGAGCGAGCCAAAAAAUGGGUUCGGGAAGUCCA